GUGUUUUCUACGAUCGAAGUAAUUUCCGGGAAUGCGCUGUUGUUGGUGUAUUCGAAAUUCCAGAGCAGAGCAUUCUUCGUCACUACCGCCAUCAACGAGCAU
rnacentral:ncRNA from 2 species